GACGAACGCUGGCGGCGUGCCUAAUACAUGCAAGUUGAGCGCUGAAGGUUGGUACUUGUACCAACUGGAUGAGCAGCGAACGGGUGAGUAACGCGUGGGGAAUCUGCCUUUGAGCGGGGGACAACAUUUGGAAACGAAUGCUAAUACCGCAUAAAAACUUUAAACACAAGUUUUAAGUUUGAAAGAUGCAAUUGCAUCACUCAAAGAUGAUCCCGCGUUGUAUUAGCUAGUUGGUAAGGUAAAGGCUCACCAAGGCGAUGAUACAUAGCCGACCUGAGAGGGUGAUCGGCCACAUUGGGACUGAGACACGGCCCAAACUCCUACGGGAGGCAGCAGUAGGGAAUCUUCGGCAAUGGACGAAAGUCUGACCGAGCAACGCCGCGUGAGUGAAGAAGGUUUUCGGAUCGUAAAACUCUGUUGGUAGAGAAGAACGUUGGUGAGAGUGGAAAGCUCAUCAAGUGACGGUAACUACCCAGAAAGGGACGGCUAACUACGUG
rnacentral:rRNA from 1 species